GGUGAACGCUGGCGGCGUGCUUAAGACAUGCAAGUCGAACGGCAGUCUUCGGACUGUAGUGGCGCACGGGUGAGUAACGCGUAACUGACCUACCCCAAAGUCGCGGAUAACGAUUCGAAAGAAUCGCUAAUACGUGAUGUGCUGUCAGAUUGUGUUCUGCCAGUAAAGAUUGAUUGCUUUGGGAUGGGGUUGCGUUCGAUCAGCUAGUGGGUGGGGUAAAGGCCCACCAAGGCGACGACGGAUAGCCGGCCUGAGAGGGUGGCCGGCCACAGGGGCACUGAGACACGGGUCCCACUCCUACGGGAGGCAGCAGUUAGGAAUCUUCCACAAUGGGCGAAAGCCUGAUGGAGCGACGCCGCGUGAGGGAUGAAGGUCUUCGGAUCGUAAACCCCUGAAUCAGGGACGAAAGACACUUCGGUGGGAUGACGGUACCUGAGUAAUAGCACCGGCUAACUCCGUGCCAGCCGCCGCGGUAAAAC
rnacentral:rRNA from 1 species